UACGGGGGGGGCGAGCGUUGUUCGGAAUUACUGGGCGUAAAGGGUGCGUAGGCGGCUUUCUAAGUCGGAUGUGAAAACUCUGGGCUCAACCCAGAGCCUGCAUCUGAAACUGGAGAGCUAGGGUUUGGAGGGGUAAAGGCGGGAAGUUCCAGGUGUAGCUGGUGAAAUGCGUAGAUAUCUGGAGGAACACCGGUGGCGAAGGCGGGCUUC
rnacentral:rRNA from 1 species